CAGAGCGUCCGACCGACCGACCGGCUGGAAGAGGCCAGUUUAACACGCUGGAACUUACAAAAGGCUUUUUAAGAACACACUCAAAUACAGAUGGACAGGUCUUCAUGAAGUUCGGCAGCCUGAACAGGGACCAGGCUUUAACAGAACCUGUAAGACACAGAAGCCCUGCGAUCAGAAAGACUAGACUUCAUGCUCUCAGAGGUGGGAAGUGAGUACCUGUGUCCAGCCUCUGUAAUGCCACUUUACAACUUGCUUUCAUGAGCCGUCGCCUGGAUAGGAGAAUUUGUGUCCCGCUUGUGUCCUGUCUCAGGAGAAAAGGGAGCAGACCAACACAGCCUUUCUUCUGCUUGCAGUUUCUCCAUUGCCUUCAGCUCUAAAGCAAACUUUAAAUCGAAGGUGAUACAUUUUGGUUUCCUCAGAGCCUUUUCAGGGCUGAAAUGUAAAAGGUAACAGAACUGGAGGGCCCUUGAGAUGGCUCAGCCAAUAAAGGCACUUGCUGCCAUGCCUGACAACCUGAGAUCCAUCCCUGGGACUCACAAAGCAGAG